GUCUACGGCCAUACCACCCCGAACGCGCCCUGAUCUUGGAAACUAAGCACGGUGGGGCCUCGUUAGUACUCAGAUGGGAGAAUUCAGGCUCACAGAGCAUCUUCAACAAAGAACAAUACAUUUGUAGGCA
rnacentral:rRNA from 1 species